GUCCGUGUAGCACAAUAGAUACUGUGUGUGUGUGUGUGUUGGACUUCUAAUCCAAAGGUCAUGGGUUCGAACCCCACUUGGGAUG